rnacentral:pre_miRNA from 1 species
GAGACACCCUUAUGGAGCAGGACUUGCUUCAGUGGGGCUUUGGUGUUGAGUCUGCCCUUUGAGUGUGUCUCU